CACUUCCAAAAUUAAAUCCUUAAAAUAAAAUUAUCAUCCGACUCACUGUGUAAAAGAAAGGAUUGGAGUUCAAUGUGGUAUCUGGAUUAUGGAUUGUCUCUUGUGUUCGGGGCACUAACUAAUUUUCUGGAUUGUCUACAGGAUUCUUCUUACGGGAAAUUGAACUGUUUGUUCUUCGGAAAUAGGGUCUUGGAUGAUCUCGAAGAAGUAUCAGUAGUUCUUGGAAUAGGUUGUAGGAUGAUUCUCUUUUUAUUUUAAUAUUACAUACAUUGGAGUACACGCCAAAUUUCAACAAUGAGUAAAGUUGGAAAAAUUCAAAUUUAAAUCAAGGAUUUCUUCCUCAAAAUAACGUUAAAACCUCAAACGAUGGAUGAAAAAUGUGCUUUAGGAGCUGAACUACAAUAAUUGAUACAUUUGGAAGUUAUGUUCUCUCGGUGAACUAAGAGAAUGUUAAAAUUAUUACAGUAUCAAAUAAUCUAUAAUGUGUGGGGAUGAUAGUUUUAUUAAUGCAAUAUUUAGAUUAUUAAUAUUUGCAGCAUUACUUUUAACUGAAGAAAUUGCAGUAAUAACCUCACACUCCGUAACCGGACUAAAGGAAAAUGUUGACUGAACAAGUCUAUUAUUUAGAUAAAAAUGAUAAAGCGCAUCAUCCAGCAAAGUCACAUUAUCAGAUACAGAGAGAAGACCUUAUCAUAUCUUGGCAAAAUAUCCGACAACGUAUCCUCAAUGAUAUCAAUAAAAGAAGAAUAGUUAAAUGUUGGAGGUCUAUAGACAAUUCCAACAGCCUC